rnacentral:rRNA from 1 species
AGUUUGCCAGCGGGUCGAUGCCGGGGACGUCUAGCGGAACUGCCAGCGUAAGCUGCGAGGAAGGUGGGGAGUGACGUCAAAUCAGCACGGCCCUUACGUCCAGGGCUACACACGUGUUACAAUGGCCGGUACAGAGGGCAGCCACCCCGCGAGGGGGCGCGAAUCCCGAAAGCCGGUCCCAGUUCGGAUCGGAGUCUGCAACCCGACUCCGUGAAGCUGGAUUCGCUAGUAAUCGCGCAUCAGCCACGGCGCGGUGAAUACGUUCCCGGGCCUU